rnacentral:rRNA from 1 species
AACGAACGCUGGCGGCAUGCCUAACACAUGCAAGUCGAACGAUCCCUUCGGGGAUAGUGGCGCACGGGAGCGUAACGCGUGGGAACCUGCCCUUAGGUUCGGAAUAACUCAGAGAAAUUUGAGCUAAUACCGGAUAAUGUCUUCGGACCAAAGAUUUAUCGCCUUUGGAUGGGCCCGCGUUGGAUUAGCUAGUUGGUGGGGUAAAGGCCUACCAAGGCGACGAUCCAUAGCUGGUCUGAGAGGAUGAUCAGCCACACUGGGACUGAGACACGGCCCAGACUCCUACGGGAGGCAGCAGUGGGGAAUAUUGGACAAUGGGCGAAAGCCUGAUCCAGCAAUGCCGCGUGAGUGAUGAAGGCCUUAGGGUUGUAAAGCUCUUUUACCCGGGAUGAUAAUGACAGUACCGGGAGAAUAAGCCCCGGCUAACUCCGUG